rnacentral:rRNA from 1 species
UACGUAGGGUGCGAGCGUUAAUCGGAAUUACUGGGCGUAAAGCGUGCGCAGGCGGUCUGUUAAGACAGAUGUGAAAUCCCCGGGCUUAACCUGGGAACUGCAUUUGUGACUGGCAGGCUAGAGUAUGGCAGAGGGGGGUAGAAUUCCACGUGUAGCAGUGAAAUGCGUAGAGAUGUGGAGGAAUACCAAUGGCGAAGGCAGCCCCCUGGGAUAAUAUUGACGCUCAUGCACGAAAGCGUGGGGAGCAAACAGG